AGUUGGGAAGUUACAAUUGCUCAUGUUCAGAUGGAUUCACUGCAACAAACUCAAGUCUCCCCAUCAGCAUCAAUAACACAUGUACAGAUGUGAAUGAAUGUCUUAAGACACCAGAAUUCUGUGGUCCAAACUCUCAUUGCACCAACUCAGUUGGGAGUUACAGCUGUUCUUGCUUGAGUGGAUUUACAGUAACAAAUAGCAGUGAACCAGUCAGCGCCAGUAACCCAUGCAAUGAUAUUAAUGAAUGUCUCAACUCAUCGUUGGUGUGUGGGCCGAAUGCUAACUGUUCCAAUUACAAUGGAAACUAUUCGUGCUCUUGUUGGGAAGGAUAUAACGUUACAAAGAUGAAUGAGACUAUAAAUAACAGUAA